UAAAGAAUUUCGGUCAUCGAUGGGGAUGCGUUCCAUUAGCUUGUUGGCGGGGUAACGGCCCACCAAGGCAUCGAUGGAUAGGGGUUCUGAGAGGAAGGUCCCCCACAUUGGAACUGAGACACGGUCCAAACUCCUACGGGAGGCAGCAGUGAGGAAUAUUGGUCAAUGGGCGCUAGCCUGAACCAGCCAAGUAGCGUGAAGGAUGACUGCCCUAUGGGUUGUAAACUUCUUUUAUAUGGGAAUAAAGUGCAGUAUGUAUACUGCUUUGCAUGUACCUUAUGAAUAAGGAUCGGCUAACUCCGUGCCAGCAGCCGCGGUAAUACGGAGGAUCCGAGCGUUAUCCGGAUUUAUUGGGUUUAAAGGGAGCGUAGGCGGGUUGUUAAGUCAGUUGUGAAAGUUUGCGGCUCAACCGUAAAAUUGCAGUUGAUACUGGCAUCCUUGAGUACAGUAGAGGUAGGCGGAAUUCGUGGUGUAGCGGUGAAAUGCUUAGAUAUCAAGAAGAACUCCGAUUGCGAAGGCAGCCUGCUGGACUGUAACUGACGCUGAUGCUCGAAAGUGUGGGUAUCAAACAGGAUUAGAUACCCUGGUAGUCCACACAGUAAACGAUGAAUACUCGCUGUUUGCGAUAUACAGUAA
rnacentral:rRNA from 1 species